AUACGUAGGGGGCGAGCGUUGUCCGGAAUUACUGGGCGUAAAGGGCGCGUAGGCGGCCCAAAAAGUCAGAUGUGAAAAACCUGGGCUUAACCGAGGUCUUGCAUUUGAAACUGUUGGGCUUGAGGGCAGGAGAGGAAAGCGGAAUUCCCAGUGUAGCGGUGAAAUGCGUAGAUAUUGGGAGGAACACCAGUGGCGAAGGCGGCUUUCUGGACUGUAACUGACGCUGAGGCGCGAAAGCCAGGGGAGCGAACGGGAUUAGAUACCCCGGUAGUCCUGGCCGUAAACGAUGGAUACUAGGUGUGGGAGGUAUCGACCCCUUCCGUGCCGCAGCCAACGCACUAAGUAUCCCGCCUGGGGAGUACGGCCGCAAGGCUGAA
rnacentral:rRNA from 1 species